rnacentral:rRNA from 1 species
CACGUAGGGCGCAAGCGUUGUCCGGAAUUAUUGGGCGUAAAGAGCUCGUAGGCGGUCUGUUGCGUCCGCUGUGAAAACCCGGGGCUUAACCCCUGGCUUGCAGUGGAUACGGACAGACUAGAGGUAGGUAGGGGAGAAUGGAAUUCCCGGUGUAGCGGUUAAAUGCGCAGAUAUCGGGAGGAACACCGGUGGCGAAGGCGGUUCUCUGGGCCUUACCUGACGCUGAGGAGCGAAAGCGUGGGGAGCGAACAGG